rnacentral:tRNA from 1 species
GCCUGGGUGGCUUAGUUGGUUAAGUGACUGACUUCAGCUCAGGUCAUGAUCUCACGGUUCAUGAGUUCAAGCCCCACCUUGGGCU